rnacentral:tRNA from 1 species
GGCCGACCUGGCCAACGUCACCGCGCCACCGCUGAGCGCGGUGGUGCGUGCCGGUGGCGGCACCGGGUCGUUCGUCUCCGCCGACGGCCU